UUCCGGUUGAUCCCGCCGGACCUGACUGCUAUCGGAUUGAUACUAAGCCAUGCGAGUCUUUGUAGUAAUACAAGGCAGACGGCUCAGUAACGCGUAGUCAACCUACCCUAUGGACGGGAAUAAUCUCGGGAAACUGAGCAUAAUACCCGGCGUACCAUCAUUCCUGGAAUGGUUGGUGGUUAAAAUGAUUCGUCGCCGUAGGAUGGGACUGCGACCUAUCAGCUUGUUGGUGGGGUAAUGGCCCACCAAGGCGAUUACAGGUACGGGCUCUGAGAGGAGAAGCCCGGAGAUGGGUACUGAGACACGGACCCAGGCCCUAUGGGGCGCAGCAGGCGAGAAAACUUUGCAAUGUGCGAAAGCACGACAAGGUUAAUCCGAGUGAUUUCUGCUAAAGGAAUCUUUUGCCAGUUCUAAAAAUACUAGUGAAUAAGGGGUGGGCAAGUUCUGGUGUCAGCCGCCGCGGUAAAACCAGCACCUCAAGUGGUCAGGAGGAUUAUUGGGCCUAAAGCAUCCGUAGCCUGCUCUGUAAGUUUUCGGUUAAAUCUAUAUGCUCAACGUAUAGGCCGCCGAAAAUACUGCAGUGCUAGGAAGUGGGAGAGGUAGACGGUACUUGAUAGGAAGGGGUAAAAUCCUUUGAUCUAUCGAUGACCACCUGUGGCGAAGGCGGUCUACCAGAACACGUUCGACGGUGAGGGAUGAAAGCUGGGGGAGCAAACCGGAUUAGAUACCCGGGUAGUCCCAGCUGUAAACGAUGCAGACUCGAUGAUGCAUUGGCAUAUAGCCAGUGCAGUGUCGCAGGGAAGCCGUUAAGUCUGCCGCCUGGGAAGUACGUACGCAAGUAUGAAACUAAAGGAAUGGGCGGGGGAGCACCACAAGGGGUGAAGCCUGCGUUCAAUUGAUUCAACGCCGGA
rnacentral:rRNA from 1 species